GAGAACCGGUUUAAAAGCGGGGGGCGAGGGGUCUCGCGGCUCUCCGUCCCCUCACGCCCCGAGAGGGUCGCGUCGCGUCCGCGCGGCCCGCCCUUCUCGGGCGUACGAACGAACACCGGCGCGAGUUGCGCCAAGGAACUUGAACGAGAGAGCGCGCCCCCGUCGCCCCGGAAACGGGGCGCGCGGGCGGCGUCGCCGUCUUCG
rnacentral:misc_RNA from 1 species